rnacentral:rRNA from 1 species
AAACCGUUCCCGAGGAUCUAUUGGAGGGCAAGUCUGGUGCCAGCAGCCGCGGUAAUUCCAGCUCCAAUAGCGUAUAUUAAAGUUGUUGUGGUUAAAAAGCUCGUAGUUGGAUUUCGGCGGGUAUUGGUCGGUUUGAAUUGCUUCAACACUGACUUUUUUACCCGUGUGUUUUGUCAGAAUUUAACGGGUGAUCUUCGCCGAUUGUCCGUUAGAACUGACAGGUUUACUUUGAAAAAAUUAGAGUGCUCAAAGCAAGCUUGAUUGCUUGAAUAUUCGUGCAUGGAAUAAUAGAAUAGGAAGUCGUUUCUAUUUUGUUGGUUUUCGGAAAUCGACUUAAUGAUUAAUAGGGAUAGUCGGGGGCAUUUGUAUUCAAACGACAGAGGUGAAAUUCUUGGACCGUUUGAAGACAAACUACUGCGAAAGCAUUUGCCAAGAAUGUUUUCAUUAAUCAAGAACGAAAGUUAGAGGUUCGAAGGCGAUUAGAUACCGCCCUAGUUCUAACCAUAAACGAUGCCAGCUAGCGAUCUGCCGGUGUUUGAUUUUCUGACUCGGCAGGCAGCUUCCGGGAAACCAAAGCUUGUGGGUUCCAGGGGAAGUAUGGUUGCAAAGCUGAAACUUAAAGGAAUUGACGGAAGGGCACCACCAGGAGUGGAGCCUGUGGCUUAAUUUGACUCAACACGGGAAAUCUCACCAGGCCCGGACACCAGAAGGAUUGACAGAUUGAUAGCUCUUUCUUGUUUUGGUGGGUGGUGGUGCAUGGCCGCUCUUAGUUGGUGGAGUGAUUUGUCUGGUUAAUUCCGAUAACGAACGAGACUCUGUCCUGUUAAAUAGAUCCAACCUAGUCGUAGGGUUGGAAUUUCUUCUUAGAGGGACUGGUGAUUAUUAGUCACACGAGAUUGAGCAAUAACAGGUCUGUGAUGCCCUUAGAUGUUCUGGGCCGCACACGCGCUACACUGAAGUGAUCAGCUAGUUUUUCCCUCUCCGAGAGGAGCGGGUAAACUGUUGAACCCACUUCGUGGUAGGGAUCGGAGCUUGCAAUUAUUCUCCGUGAACCAGGAAUUCCCAGUAGGUGCAAGUCAUAAGCUUGCAUCGAUCACGUCCCUGCCCUUUGUGCACACCGCCCGUCGCUACUACCGAUUGAGUGUUUUAGUGAGGACCUCGGAUUGCUUGCUGGGCGGUUCGCGCUGCCUAGCUGGCGAAAAGACGUCCAAACUGUAGCACUUAGAGGAAGUAAAAGUCGUAACAAGGUU